GGGUGCGAUCAUACCAGCACUAAUGCACCGGAUCCCAUCAGAACUCCGAAGUUAAACGUGCUUGGGCGAGAGUAGUACUAAGAUGGGUGACCUCUUGGGAAGUCCUCGUGUUGCACCAU
rfam:Ricinus communis cultivar Hale ctg_1100012302209, whole genome shotgun sequence.